AUACGGAGGGGGCUAGCGUUGUUCGGAAUUACUGGGCGUAAAGCGCACGUAGGCGGCUUUGUAAGUCAGAGGUGAAAGCCUGGAGCUCAACUCCAGAACUGCCUUUGAGACUGCAUCGCUUGAAUCCAGGAGAGGUCAGUGGAAUUCCGAGUGUAGAGGUGAAAUUCGUAGAUAUUCGGAAGAACACCAGUGGCGAAGGCGGCUGACUGGACUGGUAUUGACGCUGAGGUGCGAAAGCGAGGGGAGCAAACAGGAUUAGAAACCCCAGUAGUCC
rnacentral:rRNA from 1 species